rnacentral:rRNA from 1 species
GAUGAACGCUAGCUACAGGCUUAACACAUGCAAGUCGAGGGGUAACGAGAGGAAAGCUUGCUUUCCUUGUCGGCGACCGGCGCACGGGUGAGUAACGUGUAUCCAACCUGCCCCCAACUAGGGAAUAACCUUGCGAAAGUAAGACUAAUACCCUAUAAUUUCCUCAGAUGUCAUCUGACGAGGAAUAAAGAUUUAUCGGUUGUGGAUGGGGAUGCGGCUGAUUAGCUUGUUGGCGGGGUAACGGCCCACCAAGGCAACGAUCAGUAGGGGUUCUGAGAGGAAGGUCCCCCACAUUGGAACUGAGACACGGUCCAAACUCCUACGGGAGGCAGCAGUGAGGAAUAUUGGUCAAUGGGCGGAAGCCUGAACCAGCCAAGUAGCGUGCAGGAUGACGGCCCUAUGGGUUGUAAACUGCUUUUAUACAGGAAUAAAGUUAGCCACGUGUGGUUAUUUGUAGGUACUGUAUGAAUAAGGACCGGCUAAUUCCGUGCCAGCCGCCGCAGUAA